rnacentral:rRNA from 1 species
GACGAACGCUGGCGGCGUGCCUAACACAUGCAGGUCGAACGGAACUUCUUUAAAGGAUUUCUUCAGAAUGAAUUUGAUUAAGUUUAGUGGCGGACGGGUGAGUAACGCGUGAGUAACCUGCCUCUAAGAGGGGAAUAACAUUCUGAAAAGAAUGCUAAUACCGCAUAAUAUAUAUUUAUCGCAUGGUAGAUAUAUCAAAGAUUUAUCGCUUAGAGAUGGACUCGCGUCCGAUUAGUUAGUUGGUGAGGUAACGGCUCACCAAGACCGCGAUCGGUAGCCGGACUGAGAGGUUGAACGGCCACAUUGGGACUGAGACACGGCCCAGACUCCUACGGGAGCAGCAGUGGGGAUAUUGCGCAAUGGGGGAAACCCUGACGCAGCAACGCCGACGUGAAGGAUGAAGGUCUUCGGAUU